UGAUGUGGCGAAAAGUAACGCGCUCACCACUGGUCUCAGAGGAUCCAACACUGAAGAAGAGACGUGACACCAGUUUUUUCAGUUUACGGGUCAUUCAGUGAAACCCAUGUUAAAUGUUGAGACAGAAUAUCUAACGUGAUUUGGCAUGAAAUAUAGGUUACAUGUGAUGUGACAGGUAGUUUGAAAUGUAAUGUUAUUGUCUGGGCAUUUUUACAGCAAAGAUGACAGAGAGAAGGAGAGGGAGGAGAAAAACUCCUGAUCAGGAUGCUAUUGACCACAUUACCAUUGGAGAAGACAAAUCUUUCCUGGAAGGAAGAUUUAUUAACACACAUAAAGGGAGAGGUGUGCUUACACAAGACUACAUUGAACCAAAAAGUUUUGUGGUGGAGUAUCGUGGAGUUUUGUCUCUGAGCGACAGUGCAGAUGACAAAAACAGCAAAUAUGCAUUUGAGUUCAUGUGGAAUGGGAAGCACUAUUGCAUAGAUGCUUCAAAAGAGGACGGAACACUGGGACGACUAGUGAAUGAUGAUCACAUACAUCCCAACUGCAAAGUCAAGAGGAUAAUGGUCAAAGGAAGGCCACACUUGUGUCU